CUGAAGUGAGAGAUAAAAAACAGAUUGGAAGUAACCAGAAUCCAAGCACUCAAAGCUUACUUCAAAGGGGUGAUGAGUGAACAUAACAUCAUUUCUGCUUCUUCCAAACUCACUUUUUCAUUUGAAGUCACAUUAAGCUUAGGGAAAAGGGACAACUUCCUACUGCUCUUGUUUUCAUAUCAGAGGUAUAAUUUAUACAAAACUGGAAAAGCACAAGGGCACUUCAACCUUUUCUUGAGUCUGUCUAAAACAGCAAACUCAAAAGAGCUGAAGCUGAAAAAGCAUUCUAGGACUGCUAUGCAAAUGAGAACACCAGGCUUUACACUCGACAGCUUCAUAUUCCUGUGAAGUGGAAAUUUUUUGCUUUGAAAGCAGUGCUGAAAGAUUGCAAGAGAUGCACUAAAGGGGUGGAGGACUUGCUGCUCCCACACCAGGACACAGCAUCCUAGGGCAGAGGGGACAGCCUGGACCGUGAGACCAUGUGACACAACAUAGGCUGAAUUCUUCAGUGGAACGAUGGACGCUUAGGAGAAUUUCAUCAUUUUGAAGCUGUGCAGAUCUGCAACUCUCUCCAAGAACUCCUCAGAGAUACUGCUUUUGAGAGAGUAAGACUGCAGUCUAAUCGCAAACAGGUCUAGUUGCUGAGGAGAGACCUUCCAGAACCAGAUGGUUAACUGGGACUAUAAGUGAGCUUGGGGCCUGUGAUGGAGCAGCCAGUAGAACGGGGUAGCAAGAGCCAUCCAAAGAGACAAGUUCAAGACAUUAAGGUAUCCAAGGAGAAAAGGCACACUUCAAGAACACCCAGGCCUCCUCUGCUCAAGAAAUUUCCAGAGAGGCCCUAGGCUUCAAGGACCCCAUUCUUCAGGGGAAAAUGCAUGUCAGCUUUUCUUGAUUGUGAUCACCCUGGGGGAGGGUGUUGUUUCUUCAUGAAAACGAAGGUGGUGACUAGGAGGGUUGAGGAUCCAAGACCUAAGGGAGUUGUAAAGGAUGUGAACUGGAACAGCCCCAUAAAUUCCUGGAGGGGGAAGGUGUGAAGAAGUAAAUGAAAUGUCAGUAUGAUUUGGAGGUAGGCUGAUGAGUCUUCUUUUUUCAUGUUAUUGAAGGAGAUAUUUCAAAACAGAUGAGACUUGAGAAAUGGUUUGAGUAUUGUUAAUGAAUCCUACACUUAAUAACAUCUAAUAAUGCACACACAAAGAACAUUCGAGAACGACCUCAAUAGUAU
rnacentral:lncRNA from 1 species